rnacentral:rRNA from 1 species
GACGAACGCUGGCGGCGUGCCUAAUACAUGCAAGUUGAGCGCUGAAGGUUGGUACUUGUACCGACUGGAUGAGCAGCGCACGGGUGAGUAACGCGUGGGGAAUCUGCCUUUGAGCGGGGGACAACAUUUGGAAACGAAUGCUAAUACCGCAUAAAAACUUUAAACACAAGUUUUAAGUUUGAAAGAUGCAAUUGCAUCACUCAAAGAUGAUCCCGCGUUGUAUUAGCUAGUUGGUGAGGUAAAGGCUCACCAAGGCGAUGAUACAUAGCCGACCUGAGAGGGUGAUCGGCCACAUUGGGACUGAGACACGGCCCAAACUCCUACGGGAGGCAGCAGUAGGGAAUCUUCGGCAAUGGACGAAAGUCUGACCGAGCAACGCCGCGUGAGUGAAGAAGGGUGUCGGAUCGUAAAACUCUGUUGGUAGAGAAGAACGUGGGUGAGAGUGGAAAGCUCAUCAAGUGACGGUAACUACCCAGAAAGGGACGGCUAACUACGUG